rnacentral:rRNA from 1 species
UACAGAGGUCUCAAGCGUUGUUCGUAUUUAUUGGGCGUAAAGCGUGCGUAGGCGGCGGGGUAAGUGAGGUGUGAAAUCCCGGAGCUUAACUCCGGAACUGCACUUUAUACUGCCUUGCUCGAGGGCUGGAGAGGAGACUGGAAUUUACGGUGUAGCAGUGAAAUGCGUAGAGAUCGUAAGGAAGACCAGUGGCGAAGGCGAGUCUCUGGAAAGCUGCUGACGCUGAGGCACGAAGGCCAGGGGAGCAAACGGG